rnacentral:rRNA from 1 species
UACGGAGGGGGCUAGCGUUGUUCGGAAUUACUGGGCGUAAAGCGCACGUAGGCGGCUUUGUAAAGUCUGAUGUGAAAGCCCUGGGCUCAACCUGGGAAUGGCAUUGGAAACUGGCGACCUAGAGUGCGGUAGAGGGUAGUGGAAUCCCGGUGUAGCAGUGAAAUGCGUAGAGAUCGGGAGGAACAUCCGUGGCGAAGGCGACUACCUGGACCAGCACUGACACUGAGGCACGAA